GAUGAACGCUAGCGGCAGGCUUAACACAUGCAAGUCGAGGGGUAUAGGUUUUCGGACCUAGAGACCGGCGCACGGGUGCGUAACGCGUAUGCAAUCUACCUUUUACAGAGGGAUAGCCCAGAGAAAUUUGGAUUAAUACCUCAUAGUAUUAUUGAAUGGCAUCAUUUAAUAAUUAAAGUUCCAACGGUAAAAGAUGAGCAUGCGUCCCAUUAGCUAGAUGGCAAGGUAACGGCUUACCAUGGCGACGAUGGGUAGGGGUCCUGAGAGGGAGAUCCCCCACACUGGUACUGAGACACGGACCAGACUCCUACGGGAGGCAGCAGUGAUGAAUAUUGGUCAAUGGGCGCAAGCCUGAACCAGCCAUGCCGCGUGCAGGAUGACGGUCCUAUGGAUUGUAAACUGCUUUUGUACAGGAAGAAACACUGGUUCGUGAACCAGCUUGACGGUACUGUAAGAAUAAGGAUCGGCUAACUCCGUGCCAGCCGCCGCCGUAAAAC
rnacentral:rRNA from 1 species